UCAGCUACCUGGCAGGGGAGAGUCACAAUGGUGGUUUCCCAGAGCGAGGCUCAUCCACUGCACCCAAUGUGUUGGCCCCUGCAAUUUCCCAAAUGCAGAACUCACCUGUGUAAUCUGCAGCAGUGGGGUCUGUGUUCAUGCUUCUCCCAU
ensembl:snRNA predicted gene, 22611